GCUGUGAUGGCCAAGUGGUUAGGGCAUUGGAUUCAAAAUUCAAUGGGGUUUCCUUGCGCAGGUUCAAGUCCUGCUCACAGCG